rnacentral:rRNA from 1 species
GCAUCGGUUUCCGUAGGGGGAUAAAAGCUUUAGGAAUGUGGCUCUUCGGAGUGUUAUAGCCUAUUGUAUAAUACCUUUAUGGGGACCGAGGUACGCGCUCUGCAAGGAUGCUGGCGUAAUGGUCAUCAACGA